GUGUCAGCCGCCGCGGUAAUACAGAGGGUGCGAGCGUUGUCCGGAAUCACUGGGCGUAAAGGGCGCGUAGGCGGCCCGAUAAGUAGGGGGUGAAAUCUUGCGGCUCAACCGCAAGGCUGCCUUCUAAACUGUCGGGCUGGAGCACGGUAGAGGCAGAUGGAAUUCCCGGUGUAGCGGUGGAAUGCGUAGAGAUCGGGAAGAACACCAGUGGCGAAGGCGGUCUGCUGGGCCGUUGCUGACGCUGAGGCGCGACAGCGUGGGGAGCAAACAGGAUUAGAUACCCUGGUAGUCCACGCCGUAAACGAUGGGCACUAGGCGUCGGGGGGAGCGACCCUCCCGGUGCCGUCGCUAACGCAGUAAGUGCCCCGCCUGGGGAGUACGGCCGCAAGGCUGAA
rnacentral:rRNA from 1 species